GAUGAACGCUAGCGGCAGGCCUAAUACAUGCCAGUCGGACGGGAUCCAUUGAUAGCUUGCUCUCAAUGGUGAGAGUGGCGCACGGGUGCGUAACGCGUGAGCAACCUGCCUCCAUCAGGGGGAUAGCCUCUCGAAAGAGAGAUUAACACCGCAUAAUAUCAACAGUUCGCAUGUUCAGUUGAUUAAAUAUUUAUAGGAUGGAGAUGGGCUCGCGUGACAUUAGCUAGUUGGUAGGGUAACGGCUUACCAAGGCGACGAUGUCUAGGGGCUCUGAGAGGAGAAUCCCCCACACUGGUACUGAGACACGGACCAGACUCCUACGGGAGGCAGCAGUAAGGAAUAUUGGUCAAGGGGCGGAAGCCUGAACCAGCCAUGCCGCGUGCAGGAUGACUGCCCUAUGGGUUGUAAACUGCUUUUGUCCAGGAAUAAACCUAAAUACGAGUAUUUAGCUGAAUGUACUGGAAGAAUAAGGAUCGGCUAACUCCGUG
rnacentral:rRNA from 1 species